rnacentral:rRNA from 1 species
UACGUAGGGGGCUAGCGUUGCUCGGAUUUACUGGGCGUAAAGGGCGCGUAGGCGGACAGUUAAGUCAGAGGUGAAAGCCCAGGGCUCAACCCUGGAAUAGCCUUUGAUACUGGCUGUCUUGAGUGCGGGAGAGGUGUGUGGAACUCCGAGUGUAGAGGUGAAAUUCGUAGAUAUUCGGAAGAACACCAGUGGCGAAGGCGACACACUGGCCCGUAACUGACGCUGAGGCGCGAAAGCGUGGGGAGCAAACAGG